GACGUAGGGCGCGAGCGUUGUCCGGAUUUAUUGGGCGUAAAGAGCUCGUAGGCGGUCUGUCGCGUCGGCUGUGAAAACCCGGAGCUCAACUCCGGGCCUGCAGUCGAUACGGGCAGACUGGAGUUCGGCAGGGGAGACUGGAAUUCCUGGUGUAGCGGUGAAAUGCGCAGAUAUCAGGAGGAACACCGGUGGCGAAGGCGGAUCUCUGGGCCAUUACUGACGCUGAGGAGCGAAAGCGUGGGGAGCGAACAGG
rnacentral:rRNA from 1 species